AGCAAUGCUAGCGAAUAUAGAUACGACGUCAUCAAUAAGAAAACCACAGCUAAAAGCCAAAACCCUCAAAACGAGAUUGUUGAACUGUUAAUUCCAUUUAUUUUCCUAACUAAAAGCCCUGAAAAUUGAGCCGUUAACGCCACCCCCGACUCAGGCGGACAAUUUUUUUCCUUCCUAACCCACCUCAGCACUUAUUUACUAAAAACUUGGGUCUUUCUUUAGCACCGUCAUCCUCGUCAGAGUUGUUGAUUUGUGAGAAGAAGAAGGAAUAAUGGAAAAUUCGGUUUUUAUGAAUCAUAUUCAACACCUCAACGGGAAUCUCCUUUAUUCCUUUUCUCCUGCUUCUCUAGGACAUGUAACUUACAGGUUUCUGGGUAUCCCGGUUCCUUCUUUCUUUUUUCUGUUCUUUUUUAAUUCCAUGUUUUAAGAUUUUGAAGUUUCAUUUCUGGGUUUUGUUUGUCACGAGAUUAUUGAUUUUGGGGUUUUUUUUUUAAAUGAUGGUAAUUGGUUGCGUUGACUAUGCCUAAUUGUGUUAAAUAAAGUUUCUGUUUUUGCUCUCUUUUUUUUGUCUCCAUUGAUUGUAAACCAGGGGACUGGUUUAGUUUAAUAAAGUGUUCAUUAUUAACUGCUGAUUGGAGUACAAAGCUGAAUUUUGAAUGAGCUUUUGAUGAGAAGAAAAUCUUUUUGAGAAUUAAAUUAAGCAUAUACAAACAUUACAAUCUUCCAGAGAUUCUGUUAAUACAUGGAAAAGCUUAGUAAAACAUUAAGCAUAUAUGUGUCCAAAACAUACUUAUGUGUCACUCACAUCCGACUCCGAAUAACCUUAAUUUAUUUAUAUUACAGGUUUAUUAGGGUGCUAGUGGAAUGAACUGGUUAUUUAUGGUAACCUUAAUUUAUUUUGCAUUUAUGGUAACUUUACCGCAAGUUCUCUGGCUUUCUUCAUAGCUGGUACUUCAUAGGCAUAGCAAUGAAACAUCUGAAGAUUCAAUUUUUAUGGUUUGUUGAGUUAUAACCUGAUCUCCUUAGCUUUGAUAGCAACUGAGAUAUGGGCUGUUUGACUUAGAUUAUCAAAGCCAGGUUAUGAACUCAUCUGGGAAUUUUGUUUUUAAUUUACUUCUAUUUGGCUAGCUGAUCAAAAGCCUUUUAGGAUUUUUCCUAUUAGUUUAGCUCAUGAAAUUGGAAUUUACAAAUUCUUAAAGAGUAGUUGACAUUGAGAAUUAUAGUCCUAGUAAUUUUUAAUUCUAUUUUUUUUCAUGAAAUUGCAAUUAGUACUUAGAAAGAGUCGGUUAGCAGAAAAGCUCCUUAGAUGCUUCCAUCAUUUCAAAUUAUGAUGCCUUCGUCGAACACUCGUUGAAAUUCUAGUCUCCCUCUCUAAAGCAACAUAAGGAUAACUAAUCUGUGGCUCUUGUGGGUAUGAGCUAAACCUGAGUUCUUCUAGUCGAAACACCACAACAAUUGGCUCCAAAUAUGGAAAGUCUAUAAAGCGAGGGAUUAUAUCAUUCUUCAGUAUAGAUGAGAGCAGAUUUACACAAGUUGAUGAGU